UGGCAAUUGUGUUUCAUACAGAGAACAAUUGUGUGUGAUGUUACAGGGUAAGCACUGAGAUUCCUUACCAAUUCACUUAUGUUUCAACUAAACAUGAAGGGAUCACGAGGGGAUAAAACAUCAUUUGACAGCGCUGUGCAAAUUAAUAACUGACAGUGUAGUAAAGGUGCAUGAUGUUACAGAAGCCUUUGCCCUCAGCACCAUUGCCAAUCGGUUACGAAAUGCACCUAAGAGGAAAGAAAGGCUGGAUGCAGUGUCAUUUAUUAAGUGUUAAGUAAAUGUUUUUGUAAUUUUGUUUCUUUUGCUGUUUGAGACAGUUUUCUAUCUUCUCUUAGAUGUUUUGUUGGUUUAAUUAGUCUUUUAGUAUUCACAUUUUUAUGGUAUUUUAGUAUUAUGCACUACACCCAGUUUUUAUGUGCAUUUUGUAUUGUUUGUUUUGAAAUAUGAAUAAAUUAUUGGUUAUUACAACUUUUAUGUGAUUUGUGUCUGCU